UACGAAGGGGGCUAGCGUUGCUCGGAAUCACUGGGCGUAAAGGGUGCGUAGGCGGGGUUUUAAGUCAGGGGGGAAAUCCUGGAGCUCAACUCCAGAACUGCCUUUGAUACUGAAGAUCUUGAGUCCGGGAGAGGUGAGUGGAACUGCGAGUGUAGAGGUGAAAUUCGUAGAUAUUCGCAAGAACACCAGUGGCGAAGGCGGCUCACUGGCCCGAUACUGACGCUGAGGCACGAAAGCGUGGGGAGCAAACAGG
rnacentral:rRNA from 1 species